AAUGGCGAAUGAACAGGGAAAUGCUCACUAUUGUAAGCAGAGCCUCACGGCUUUGAGUUGUAAUGUCAAGAUGGGCUGCCAAUGAGAGUGUAUGUGUGAGCCUCUUGGAAAAGAGAACCAGCGAGGGUGAGAGUCCCCUUGGGCACAUAUAGUCUCUCGUGUACGGCGCGCACUCGCAGAAUCACGCUCCUCGGAAAUGGAGUGCAAACUUGGUGGUAAAUUUCAUCUCAAGCUACAUAUGGGUUCGAAACCGAUAGAUUACAAGUACCAUGAGGGAAAGAUGAAAAGGACUUUGAAAAGAGAGUUAAAAGUGUCUGAAAUUGCUGAGAGGAAAGCGGACGGAACCAGUACAGCUCGGCGAGACUGCUGCAUACUGCCAUGAGUGCUCUUUUCGUGAACGAAAGUUACGCGGGGGGCUACAAAUGAACUGUGUGCAGUGCUUCUUGCCUCGCGUGUCAUCGCCAGUUCGACGACGAGGACAACACUUGGGAGAUGGUAGCUUCUCUCAGGAUAAGCGAACAUCCCUUGUAGAACUCGUCGACAGGCUGGAUUUCCCAAGUUGAUCAGGUUGAACUGUGUUUGUCGACUUAGCCUUCACGUAGCCGCAGACAUGCCCUCCUGACACAUAGCUGGUGAGAAUGAUUUCUUUCUACCCGUCUUGAAACACGGACCGAAGGUGUCUCACAUAUGUGCAGCGCAUUGGUUUCACGCCUUCGUGCAUAAUGAAAGUGAGUGCUGGGAGUCAUGCACUAGCAGCCGACCAAUCAACUGGGAGAGGUUUGAGCAUGAGCAUAUCUGUUAGGACCCGAAAGAUGGUGAACUAUGCCUGAGCAGGGUGAAGUCUGGGGAAACUCAGAUGGAGGCUCGUAGCGAUACUGACGUGCAAAUCGUUCGUCAUACUUGGGUAUAGGGGCGAAAGACUAAUCGAACCAUCUAGUAGCUGGUUCCCUCCGAAGUUUCCCUCAGGAUAGCUGGAGUUACGUAGUUUUAUCAGGUAAAGCGAAUGAUUAGAGGAAUCGGGAGCGCGUUGUUCUCGACCUAUUCUCAAACUUUAAAUGGGUAAGCUCCAGUUGUUACUUCAUUGAACAUCUGGGACAAAUUACAACUCUAAGUGGGCCAUUUUUGGUAAGCAGAACUGGCGAUGAGGGAUGAACCUAACGUUGGGUUAAGGUGCUUAACUGCUCGCUCAUCAGAUACCAUAAAGGGUGUUGGUUCAUUUUGACAGCAGGACGGUGGUCAUGGAAGUCGAAAUCCGCUAAGGAGUGUGUAACAACUCACCUGCCGAAUGGACUAGCCCCGAAAAUGGAUGGCGCUCAAGCGGGUGACCGAUACCCAGCCAUUGUUGCAAUU
rnacentral:rRNA from 1 species